UGGGGAAUUUUGGACAAUGGGCGAAAGCCUGAUCCAGCAAUGCCGCGUGUGUGAAGAAGGCCUUCGGGUUGUAAAGCACUUUUGUCCGGAAAGAAAUCCUUGGCUCUAAUACAGUCGGGGGAUGACGGUACCGGAAGAAUAAGCACCGGCUAACUACGUGCCAGCAGCCGCGGUAAUACGUAGGGUGCAAGCGUUAAUCGGAAUUACUGGGCGUAAAGCGUGCGCAGGCGGUUUGCUAAGACCGAUGUGAAAUCCCCGGGCUCAACCUGGGAACUGCAUUGGUGACUGGCAGGCUAGAGUAUGGCAGAGGGGGGUAGAAUUCCACGUGUAGCAGUGAAAUGCGUAGAGAUGUGGAGGAAUACCGAUGGCGAAGGCAGCCCCCUGGGCCAAUACUGACGCUCAUGCACGAAAGCGUGGGGAGCAAACAGGAUUAGAUACCCUGGUAGUCCACGCCCUAAAACGAUGUCAACUAGUUGUCGGGGAUUCAUUUCCUUAGUAACGUAGCUAACGCGUGAAGUUGACCGCCUGGGGAGUACGGUCGCAAGAUUAAAACUAAAUGAAUUGACGGGGUCAUAGCUGUUUCCU
rnacentral:rRNA from 1 species